CAACCCUCAAGCACAGCUUGGUGUUGGGACUCGCGUUAAUUCGCGUUCCUCAAAUUGAUUGGCGGUCACGUCGAGCUUCCAUAGCGUAGUAGUAAAACCCUCGUUACUGGUAAUCGUCGCGGCCACGCCGUUAAACCCCAACUUCUGAA
rnacentral:misc_RNA from 4 species